CCCCUAGAUGUUCUGGGCCGCACGCGCGCUACACUGAACAGUUCAACAAGUCUUAACCUUGGCCGAUAGGUCUGGGUAAUCUUUGAACGCUGUUCGUGAUUGGGAUAGACCUUUGCAAUUAUGGGUCUUCAACGAGGAAUUCCUAGUAAACGCAAGUCAUCAGCUUGCAUUGAUUACGUCCCUGCCCUUUGUACACACCGCCCGUCGCACCUACCGAUUGAAUGGUCCGGUGAAAUCACGGGACGGCGGCUUGGUCGCUUGCGUCCGACUGCUGAAACUUGAUUAAACCAUAUCAUUUAGAGGAAGGUGAAGUCGUAACA
rnacentral:rRNA from 1 species